CUGAAGCAGUUGUUUGUUCAUUCAUGUACUUGGGGGGAUAUCUAAUCACUGCAUCCUCUUCAGACCCGAAAGUUGUGCAGUUCUUCUACAAUUUAGGCCUUUAACACUAUCGCCAGAACUGCUCAGAACCUGUGAUGUUGGCAACAUGCCAUCGCUCCAUUCAACGGGCACUUUCCAUCCAUUUGGUUCAUCUGCACCUUGGGCUCCCACUAAAGGCUUCACUAACCUGGUGCCUUCCAGAAGUUUUGGAGUUCAACUCCCAAUAGCCCCACUCAGAAGCCUUAUCAAGUGUUAAUCCAGAUAAGGAAGUGUUCUCCAUUUCUGUGUUCUUCUACACUUAAUGGGUAUACUGGAAGGGGACACCAUACAGAGCCAGAGACCAUCUUGAUUGUGGGUCCUGGAAGACCUGCCCCCUGCUUUGAAGGCCCUUUUCCACCAGGCCUGGAAGGGCAGGGCCAAGACUGACUCCAGCUACAAAAGCUGAGGCUGUUGAAUGGACUCUUGGGCUGGGGAAUUGCUUAUGGGUUUUUGUUGAGGAUGUGUGUUAUUGCUUUUAUUGAUAUUAAUUUUUAUAUCUUUAUUUUGUAUCAUAUGAUUUACGUGGAAAUUUUUUGAUUUGCUGUGUGUAUUUUUUAAUGUUUUAUUUAUUGUUUAUGACUACUUUUCCUGUGUUGUAGUUAUGUAUUUUUUCAUGUUGUAAGUCAC